rnacentral:rRNA from 1 species
UACGUAGGGUGCGAGCGUUGUCCGGAAUUAUUGGGCGUAAAGAGCUUGUAGGCGGUCUGUCGCGUCUGCUGUGAAAAUCCGGGGCUCAACCCCGGACUUGCAGUGGGUACGGGCAGACUAGAGUGUGGUAGGGGAGACUGGAAUUCCUGGUGUAGCGGUGAAAUGCGCAGAUAUCAGGAGGAACACCGAUGGCGAAGGCAGGUCUCUGGGCCACUACUGACGCUGAGAAGCGAAAGCUUGGGGAGCGAACAGG